GUCUCAAGACUUUACUUCUUCCUUUGUAACACCUAGGAUUUGGCGGGUGCCCAGCUAAAUAGAUUUUAGCUCAAGGAUGUUCACAAAUUAAAGUCAAUCAGGUUUAAAUAAGAUUUGGUCAGGUUUUAGAAUCAUUAACCACUCUAAAGUUAUUUAAUUAUAAAUUCUCUAAGACUUUGUGCAAGUUUAGAGCCGGUUUGGCACUAUUUCAAAAGGUUUAUUAAGCCACAGUGGCAGUCUGGACUACUUAAGAAAUGAAACCAUUUCAGCCAUCACUAAGCACUUUCGUACCCUUAUUUUCAAUGUCGUUAAAUGAUGUGCAGAUUGCAAAUCAUCCUUAUCGAUCUUUUUUAAAACAGAGCGGAUGGAAGCAGGACCUCAGCUAGUCGGUUAGCUAGUUUAAUUCAGUUUUUUUUUUUUUUCAGGUAUUUAAGAAUUAUGAACAUUGAACAUGUCCACUGACGGGGAUCUUCUCAACCUAGGGAUCAAAAGGCGUCUCCUGAGAUGAAUUCUGAGCCAUCUAGGAAGCCCUUGUAUCAUCUUACUAUUGUUCCUACUUCUCAGGGUUAUUAGAGACUAAAUAAGAUCAUUCAUGUGAAGUGCAAUACAGUGCUUGACAUGUUACAGCAAA